rfam:Tetraodon nigroviridis, WGS project CAAE01000000 data, contig: CNS0BTIQ, chromosome: undetermined
CUUUGGGGAACAUUCAACGCUGUCGGUGAGUUUGGUGACUCAGAAAAAAACCAUCGAGCGUUGAGUGUACCUUUAGG